rnacentral:rRNA from 1 species
AUUGAACGCUGGCGGCAGGCCUAACACAUGCAAGUCGAACGGAGCGCGGGACGGGUGAGUAUGGCCGAGGAAUCGGCAAGUUAGUGGGGGAUACCGCACGGAACUGGACGCUAUGGCUGCAUACUCUCACAUGAGGCUAGGUCGGAUUGGCUAGUUGGUGGGGUAAGGGCCUACCCAGGCGACGAUCCGUAACUGGUCUGAGAGGAUGAUCAGUCACACUGGAACUGAGACACGGUCCAGACUCCUACGGGAGGCAGCAGUGGGGAAUAUUGGACAAUGGGCGAAAGCCUGAUCCAGCCAUGCCGCGUGUGUGAAGAAGGUCUUCGGAUUGUAAAGCACUUUAAGUUGGGAGGCGGUACCUACAGAAUAAGCACCGGCUAACUCCGUGCCAGCAGCCGCGGUAAUUC